UUCAGGGUCGUGUCCGGUGUCGGACGGGUCGCCGGUGUGGCUCCUGCACAGGGGAACAGCCGCACACCUAUUAAUAAGACAUGCUAUUUUAGAGGCAAAUAAUAUGAUAGGUGUUGCAGCCCCCGGUCGCCAACUCCCCCAGUUCAGCAGGCGAGCAGUGACGUGCGGCGUUUCCACGGCAACGCGGGUCGGUAUAAAUGCUGGCUGCGCGGCGCGGAGACCCGCAGACACACCGCAGCGGCGGGCGAGGAAGGCUGGUAUGCCAUCAUGCCACGAUCAAAAGAGACUUCAGAGGACCUCAGAAAAAGAGUAGUUGAUGCUCAUCGGGCUGGAAAGGGAUACAAAACCAUCUCCAAAGAGCUGCAGCUCCAUAGAUCCACUGUCAGGCAAAUCCUCAAGAAAUGGAAAAUAUUCAAGACUACAGAGACUCUGCCCAGGACCGGCCGUCCCACCAAGAUCUCCCCGAGAACAACCCGGAAGAUCAUGCAGGAGGUCACAAAGAACCCCAGAGUGACAUCCAGGGAUCUGCAGGCCUUACUGGCUGCGGCGGACAUCCGAGUCCACGCCUCGACCAUCAGGAGGAGACUGAACAGGAAGGGUUUCCACAGGGUGGCAAUGAGGAAGAAGCCCAGCCAAGCGGCGCUGGGAAUCAUUCAGCUCCAACCUGAUCCCAGAGAAGGAAGGAGUAACCUGGAGACUUGAGCUGAAGGCUGUGCAGUAGGCAUUAAGCAGUCCGGAAUGGGCAAACUCCUGCGAAACGCACAGAUCCCUCAGAUUAACAAGGCGCGUGGAUUUCCAGACUCUGUGCAUAGAGAAUGUAUUCGGCUGCUGAUUUAGGGGGCCGUGUUGAUUAGACUUUGCAGAAAUUUCCAAACAAUUUAACAAUAGUAAACUCUGGAUAUACCUACUACAAGAGGAAUACAUAUUGUUCUGUUUCAAUCAUGUUUACAUUAUUUUAUUAGCUGAGAGUGCUAUAUGCCUUUGAGUGGAUAAAUAAAAGUUUUCCAUGAUCAUUA